AUGCUGUUCAUUCAGUACCACUGCUAGCUUUAGUGUCUGAUUAUGCUGUACGUAGAUGUGAGGUUAUUAAUUUUUUUUGGAAUUUUGAGUACCUGUAGUAAUGCCUUAAGUUGUCCUUAAGAACAAUUUCUCGGCAAUUUGAUUUAGUUCUGCUGGAUUGGUCAUUAAAUUUGAGCUUCCAUCUUAAGGCCAGUAUCCAGCUAUUUAUGAUUAUACUGUCUAUGAUGCAAUUCUUUUUGAGUUUCUAUAGUUGCAAGUCUUAAGGGUCUACAACAAUGGUGCAGAGAGGGAGUGAUUAUUGAAGUAUCUUUUUCGACGCACUGAUUGAGGUUCUUAUCCCCUUGUGAUCUGGAGAACAAGAAACAUUACAAGAACUGCACCCU
rnacentral:lncRNA from 1 species